rnacentral:lncRNA from 1 species
CAGGAGUUUAAACAGCAAAAGCCAUAUAAAUUGGAUUAGAAUUCUAUGCACUCCAGAAUAGCUAGGUAAUACUGUAAUUCUUAGGGGUAUAAUAAGAAAAACAUUUGAACUUAGCACAUGGAAGAGACGUCAAGAGCGUACAAAGUGCAUGCACGUCUGUAAUCCUAAACUCUGUAUACAAAACAUGUCUCUGAGCAAUACCUCUUUAAGGCCCCAAGUGUCCUUGUUGCACAUGCAAAAUCUAGCACAGCAAAUAAUGGAUGCCAAAGUACUCGUCGAUUUAAGAAAGGAAGAGGCAGGAAAAGAGAACAAGACGGAGCAAAGAUCAGGGUAAUAAUCAACGGGGAGUGGGAGGAAGGGAAGCCAUGGCCAGGCCACAGCCUGGUAUUUUAAAUGGUGCUAAAUGGCAAUAAGUACUGUAACUUCCCUCUCUCCAGCAAAGAUCGCGAUCCCUUUACACGUUUCCUCACAAGUAAGCCCCGCUGUGCCCAAAGGGAAUCCUUCCCAUUACCGUGCAAUGAGUUGCAGCAAAAUAAAAAUAAACCCUUUCCCUCCCUCUCUCUCUCUGUGUGUUUGUGUGUGUGGUUUUUACGUCUUAUCCCAUCUUCCAAGCUACUCGCUGUUCAAGCUACCCAAUUCUCUAUACGCGGCUACUCAACGAAUCGAGAGUCAUCCAUACGGUCUCCCCGAAACCACCUUCCAAGAGAAGGACCUCUUCAUACAGAAACUAGAUGUCUGGGGAUGUAGGCCGGUCUGCAACUGAAGAUUCAACUGUCUAGGUAUUGUCUGUAUCGUUUAUUAUUGCAUUUUAAUGACUUGGUUUUAUUAUAUUUUAAUCGCAAUUUUGUUUUUCAUUCUCCAUUACAGUAAUUUAUUAUUGCAUUUUAUUGACUUGGUUUUCAUAUUAUAUUUUAAUCACAAUUUUGUUUUUCAUUCUCCAUUACAGUAUUAAGAGCUUCCUUUGGCAUCUUCCAGUGGAAAUGCACAGUGUAUGUGACCAAGACAGACAAAUGGACAGAUCUUGUUCCUGUACUGAUGGCACUGCUCAAAGAGGAGUUUUAACAGAUGGAUCAAGCAGUGGGUGAAACGUGUUUUUUGUAUUAUUUGGGGGGGAAAGUGAUAAAAAACAAUAGGCUUUGGGAAGGGGUUGAUAAGCUUUCUGGGCUCAAUGGCUGCAAUUCCCCUGUGGCCAAAUUGGGCAGGUGGGAGGGUGCCUUCCUUUGUUAGAUGAGGCCACAAAAAUGCUGAAGGACAUUCAUGGAGGUGGCAUGGCACAAUGCAGUUUGCACUGAAGAUGAAUGGAGAGAAGCAGAGGCAGGUGGAGGAGAAUCGCCUUGGGUUUCUUAGAUUGUCCUUUACUUGUCCUAAUCUGUAAAUUUCUUCCUUCAUCUAGACCAGUGGUUCCCAACAUUGGGUAACCCAGGUGCUCUUGGACUGCAAUUCCCAGAAGCCUUCACCACCAGCUGAUCAGAGUAUUUGGGAACUGAAGUCCAAGAACAUUUUGUUUACCCAAGACUGGGAACCACUGAUCUAGAACGAUACUCUUAGGAUUGCUGAUGUCAUUUCCUUCCUUUCUCUCAUUGUCUCUCAACCUUCUCCUACAGAGGAGACAUACUGCUUUUGUUCCUGAGAGGGAUUGGAAACCUGCUCCCUGGCUCUCCAUCUCCAUUAGCUGAAAUUAGGAUUCCUAACAUAGUUCCUAUUUUGAUAUGUUUCUGUAAUAAAACUACCUUUCUUAUUUUCUCA